rnacentral:rRNA from 1 species
CCUACGGGUGGCAGCAGUGGGGAAUAUUGCACAAUGGGGGAAACCCUGAUGCAGCAACGCCGCGUGAAGGAAGACGGUUUUCGGAUUGUAAACUUCUGUUCUUAGUGAAGAAUAGUAAAGGUAGCUAAUGAGCAAGCCACGGCCAACUACGUUGCCACCACCGCGGUAAUACGGAGGAGGGAAGCGUUGUCCUGAAUUAAGGGGGGGAAAGGGAGCGCAGGCGGGACGCCAAGUCAGCUGGGAAAACGACGGGCUUAACUUGUAGACUGCAGUUGAAAAUGGUUUUCUUGAGGGAAGUAGAGGUUGGCGGAAUUCCGGGUGUAGCGGUGAAAUGCGUAGAUAUUCGGAGGAACACCGGUGGCGAAGGCGGCCAACUGGGCUUUAACUGACGCUGAGGCUCGAAAGUGUGGGGAGCAAACAGGAUUAGAUACCCUUGUAGUC